CACACAUUUGAAAGGUACGAGCAGUAAUUUUUAUCAUCUAACUGUCGCAGAACGGCAGCGUUAUUAGCCGACCCGUUCACUGAAGAAUAUAACUACAGUCAACGGCUGUCCAUCGAAGGCCCUAGCCGCUUGAAUCUGGGAUUGGCAGGAAAGAUAAAGUGCGUAUUUCUUGUCUGAUUGUGAAAUGUGAAAACUAGUAUCAUUAUACAUCAUGAAAUAUCAUCAUACAUCACACAUCUUACAUCACGAGACAUCAUACAUCACACAUCAUACAUAGUAUGAAAGUUCGAAACCAGAGUUUGGAUGUUCGGAUGUUCAGAAAGUACGUCACACAAUUUUUUUUUCUCUUGACGUCAUCAACCUAAAUUCAGCUAGCCGGAUUCCUCAGUCUGGAAACAACCGCGCAGUAGAGAGGACGGAUGAGAAUCGCGCUCCGCAGAUUUCGAGUGCCGGGUUCUCAGCCUCUUGGAUCCUGCGCUCCGGGUCCGCUUUCUGGUGAAACUCGACUGCCGGGACAAGCGCUACGUAGUUUCUGAGCUCCAGGUCCGCUACCUGGUGGAACUCGACUUCCAGGACAAGCGCUCCGUAGUUUCUGAGCUCCAGGUCCGCUACGUCGUGAAACUAGACUUCCGGGACAAGCGCUCCGUAGUUUCUGCGCUUCAGGUCCGCUACCUGGUGAAACUCGACUUCCGAGGUAUAACUCGAGGUGGUUAUCGGUGGUUGUUGGAGGUGGUUGGCGGUGGUUUGAAGUGGACGAGGAGGGGAACGAGGAAGACGAGGAGAACAAGGUGGACGAGGAGGACGAGGAUUUGUGCUCGGUAUAACCCGAGGUAGUUCGCGGUGGUUCCGGGUGAUCGAGGUGAGCGAGGAAGAGGACGAGGAUGACGAGGACUUGUACACUUUCUGUGCCCCACCUAGUGAUCCACUAGUACAU
rnacentral:lncRNA from 1 species